rnacentral:rRNA from 1 species
CGUAGGGUGCAAGCGUUAAUCGGAAUUACUGGGCGUAAGCGUGCGCAGGCGGUGUGGCAAGACAGGUGUGAAUACCCCGGGCUAACCUGGGAACUGCACUUGUGACUGCACAGCUGGAGUGCGGCAGAGGGGGGAUGGAAUUCCGCGUGUAGCAGUGAAAUGCGUAGAUAUGCGGAGGAACACCGAUGGCGAAGGCAAUCCCCUGGGCCUGCACUGACGCUCAUGCACGAAAGCGUGGGGGAGCAAACAGGAUUAGAUACCCUGGUAGUCCACGCCCUAAACGAUGUCAACUGGUUGUUGGACGGCUUGCUGUUCAGUAACGUAGCUAACGCGUGAAGUUGACCGCCUGGGGAGUACGGCCGCAAGGUUG